UACGUAGGUGGCAAGCGUUGUCCGGAAUUAUUGGGCGUAAAGCGCGCGCAGGCGGUCUUUUAAGUCUGAUGUGAAAGCCCCCGGCUCAACCGUGGAAGGGCAUUGGAAACUGGGAGACUUGAGUACAGAAGAGGAAAGCGGAAUUCCACGUGUAGCGGUGAAAUGCGUAGAGAUGUGGAGGAACACCAGUGGCGAAGGCGGCUUUCUGGUCUGUAACUGACGCUGAGGCGCGAAAGCGUGGGGAGCAAACAGG
rnacentral:rRNA from 1 species